CAGCGCCGCGGUAAUACGAAGGGUGCAAGCGUUACUCGGAAUUACUGGGCGUAAAGCGUGCGUAGGUGGUGGUUUAAGUCCGUUGUGAAAGCCCUGGGCUCAACCUGGGAAUUGCAGUGGAUACUGGGUCACUAGAGUGUGGUAGAGGAUAGUGGAAUUUCCGGUGUAGCAGUGAAAUGCGUAGAGAUCGGAAGGAACAUCUGUGGCGAAGGCGACUAUCUGGGCCAACACUGACACUGAGGCACGAAAGCGUGGGGAGCAAACAGGAUUAGAUACCCGCGUAGUCCCUGUCUCUUAUACC
rnacentral:rRNA from 1 species